UUACGCGUGGCGCAAUGGUAGCGCAUCUCAUUCCUAACGAGAAGGUUGCGGGUUCGAGUCCCGUCGUGUAAG